rnacentral:pre_miRNA from 1 species
UUGUGUGUGACGGGAUGGCAGUGUCUGUUAGCUGGUUGAAAUUCUGAUAUCAGCUAACAUGCAGUUGCUAUCCUUUUCCACAUAUC